rnacentral:lncRNA from 1 species
CUGCGCACGCCCUCCAGGUCCAUCCGGUUGGAGAUGAGCUCGCCCUCGCUCGGCGUGUCGAUGCCGUAGAGGCAGGACCCCACCACGGGCGGGCUCGCGAUCCUCAUGUGCACCUCGCGCGCGCCGGCGUCGCGCAGCAGCCGCACGAUCUUGCUCGAGGUGGUGCCGCGCACCAGCGAGUCGUCCACGACCACCACGCUCUUGCCGGCGAUGACGCCGCGCACGGGGGCGAGCUUGAGCUUCACGGCGAGGUCGCGGAUCGCCUGCGUGGGCUGGAUGAAGCUGCGGCCGCUGUAGUGCCACCGGAUCAGGCCCUGCUGGAACUCGAGCCCCGACGCGCGCGCGAACCCGAGCGCGGCGUAGAAGCCAGAAUCGGGCACCGGGAUGACCACGUCGGCGCCCGGGGCCGGGGACUCCUCGGCGAGGGCGCGGCCGAAUG